UGCCAGCUACAGGUAGUUUCUGCAGCUGU
rnacentral:piRNA from 1 species